rnacentral:rRNA from 1 species
UACAUGUGGGGCAAGCGUUGUUCGGAAUUACUGGGCAUAAAGGGUGCGUAGGUGGCUUGUUAAGUCAGGGGUGAAAGUUUUCGGCCCAACCGGAAAAUGGCCUUUGAUACUGGCGAGCUUGAGUGCGUGAGGGGUAACCGGAACGAGCAGUGUAGCGGUGAAAUGCGUAGAUAUCGUGAGGAACACCAGAGGCGAAGGCGGCUACCUGGACAAUUGCUGACGCUCAGGCACGAAAGCGUGGGGAGCAAAAGGG